UCCACGCGCUUUCCGUUCAGUUAUUUUCAUGAAAAUUUAUGUAUGACUUCCUAGAACACAAAAUGAAUAACUUCUCAACGAAUGUACCAUUGUUAGAUAUCAAAGAUUUAUCAUUUCUUACAUUCAAAAGAAACUUUUAAAGGAAUAUUAGAAUUUCAGAUACCCCGUCUGCGGCUACAGUCCAUCCGGAUCAUUAUACGCCAUCAUUUAACUGUCUGUUAAAUCCGUAUUUUCUCUGAUGGCUGGAUGAGAGUUGAAAAUAGACAACAAGUCUAAUGAAGAGGUUACUGAAACUCAGCAAGAAUGGAUCAACAUGCAAUCAAAUGACUUUUAUUAUUUUUCUGGAACUGGGAAACUUCCUGGCUGCAGGAAAAGUACUGCAGUGGCAAAUGACUUUGUAGAAAUAUAAUAUGUAUAUUCAGUUUAUUCAAUGAAUAAAGUUUAGCUGAUAUAUUCCUA